UCCGGAGGGUGCAAGCGUUAUCCGGAAUCAUUGGGUUUAAAGGGUCCGCAGGCGGUCUUAUAAGUCAGUGGUGAAAGCCUACAGCUCAACUGUAGAACUGCCAUUGAUACUGUAAGACUUGAAUUCGAUCGAAGUGGGCGGAAUAUGACAUGUAGCGGUGAAAUGCUUAGAUAUGUCAUAGAACACCGAUAGCGAAGGCAGCUCACUAGGUCUGGAUUGACGCUCAGGGACGAAAGCGUGGGGAGCAAACAGG
rnacentral:rRNA from 1 species